rfam:Entamoeba invadens IP1 unplaced genomic scaffold scaff_1105074725519, whole genome shotgun sequence.
GUGGAGGUAGUUUAGUUGGUAAAACGUUUUAUUUAACAAAAAUCUUUCUGAUUUAUGUUAUAAGUCAAAAUACAAAAAGUCGUGGGUUCAACUCCCACCUUCCACG